rnacentral:rRNA from 1 species
GCUUGUCUCAAAGAUUAAGCCAUGCAUGUCUAAGUACAAGCCUCAGUAAGGUGAAACCGCGAAUGGCUCAUUAAAUCACACCUAAUCUACUGGAAAGUUACUAGUUACUUGGAUAACUGAGGUAAUUCUUGAGCUAAUACAUGCGAAAAAUCUCGACUCACGGAGAGAUGCUUUUAUUAGAUCAAAACCAAACGGCUUCGGCCGUCUCAUUGGUGACUCUGAAUAACUUUGGGCUGAUCGUAUGGCCUUGUGCCGACGACGUUUCCUUCGAAGGUGUGCCCUAUCAGCUUUCGAUGGUAGUGUAUUGGACUACCAUGGCAGUAACGGGUAACGAAGAAUUAGGGUUCGAUUUCGGAGAGGGAGCAUGAGAAACGGCUACCACAUCUAAGGAAGGCAGCAGG